GAGCGCCGCGGGGCAGCUCCCGGGCCAGAGGGCGGCGCCCGGCCGCUGCGCGCCCCAGCCUUCUCCGGCGGCCUCACGGUCAUGACCUUGCCGGGCAGUUCCUCGCCUCCCGCUUGGUCUCUUUACCUGCCCUCGCCCCAAUCUCUCUCCAGGCCUGGAGUGGGGGAUCCCCGUCGUCCUAGUUGGUGGUGAUGGAGGGUACAGUUUGAUUUACUUACUCUCAAUUUCCCCAGUACCUGUAGAACUGGCAAAGUCAGCGGUCUUGUGGGCACUGACUGUGAUCAGUGAAGUCGUUCCCCGGACAGUCUUGGAAAGUCUGCGAGGCCAGGCGCCACGGCUUCUGGAUGGUAAAUUGCGGAGGGCGGGGAGGAAAGAAACUCGCCAGAUUUCUCACCUUUGGCACCCGAAAUUUUUGAAAGUAUGUGCUCCUGGAAUGUCUUCACCAGAUGUUUACCCAAGAAAUUACAGUCGCUGAGUCUUCAACAUGUGCAUGCAUUUUAAAAGCAGCAUUUUAGAUCUGAACCCAGUUAAUGAUUUUCUUUUCUUUCUUUUAUGAAAAAGGGAAUUUUAGUUUUGCCUGCAAGUGCUCCGAGUCUUUACAGAGUCUGCGUUAACGUCACUCACUUUCACUCUGGGACGUGCUAGUCUCACAGUCUAGUUUUGUUCAGACUUUAUUUUGCUCCAAGCUGCGUUACAAGCCACUUGUCCACGCUGCAAAAGGUGGGGGUAGCGGGCUGGGGUGACGGGCCCUUUUGCUCUUCCCCCCUCCUCCUAUACCGAAGCAAUCUGGAAUCGUUCCACUUGGCUCUGCGCGCGCGCAUAGAGACGCGCGCGCGCACACACACACGUGUGCCAUGCAUGUGUGGGGCCUAUGGAUCUGUGUAUACGCGCGUUUGUGAUUUAAAGUGACAGGACCAAGAGCUGGACUGGAGCAGUGAAUUAUUUUGCGUGAUAAAUCAACUUGAUUGUCUCCACACUGUACUUCCAUUAUUCACCCGAGUGCUCGGUGGUUACGGCGGACGUGCACUGCGGCAAAAAUGUCCUCGGAGCCGCUAAUUUUGUGGCCACUGCGGCGGCUGUGGCGGCGGCGCGGGGGCGCGAGCACGGAUUGAUUUUUCAAGAUCACGUCUCCUUCAGUGCAACUCGCCAAAUCGAAUCGAGUUGACUGCAGAAGCCUCACUGGAUGCAUGUGGAUUGGGUUUUGUACCGGAGAUUUUUUAAAUACUUAUUUUUUUCUUUUGGAGGGAGGAGCCGAGCUGUAGUUGGUUCAGGAAGGGAGAUAUACCUAUUCUGCUUUAUUUUCCUUUUACGCUCU